rnacentral:rRNA from 1 species
GAUGAACGCUAGCUACAGGCUUAACACAUGCAAGUCGAGGGGUAACGAGAGGAAAGCUUGCUUUCCUUGUCGACGACCGGCGCACGGGUGAGUAACGCGUAUCCAACCUGCCCCCAACUAGGGAAUAACCUUGCGAAAGUAAGACUAAUACCCUAUAAUUUCCUCAGAUGACAUCUGACGAGGAAUAAAGAUUUAUCGGUUGUGGAUGGGGAUGCGUCUGAUUAGCUUGUUGGCGGGGUAACGGCCCACCAAGGCAACGAUCAGUAGGGGUUCUGAGAGGAAGGUACCCCACAUUGGAACUGAGACACGGUCCAAACUCCUACGGGAGGCGGCAGUGAGGAAUAUUGGUCAAUGGGCGGAAGCCUGAACCAGCCAAGUAGCGUGCAGGAUGAUGGCCCUAUGGGUUGUAAACUGCUUUUAUACAGGAAUAAAGUUAGCCACGUGUGGUUAUUUGUAGGUACUGUAUGAAUAAGGACCGGCUAAUUCCGUGCCAGCCGCCGCGGUAA